UUUCCUUCGGGGACAAUUUGAUUAAGUUGGAACGAUACAGAGAAGAUUAGCAUGGCCCAUGCGUAAGGAUGACAUGCUCAAAUCGAGAGAUGGUCAAUUUUUUU